AACUUCCUUUAGAUAUAUUUCAGACCGGGUCCGUUUUAUAAAUACAUGAAAUACAUCUAAAGAAAAAUGUCCUUUCUUCUUUCACCACACAACCAGAUUAUAUGGGUUGUGAGCGUCUCGAGACGAUGACGAAAAUUUAACAAGAAUCCUAUAAUGUAUUCUGUGUGACAAAAACACAUAUAAAAAACAGAAACAUAAUUUGAUACGCCAGACGUGUCUCUCGUCUAAAUAGGAC
rnacentral:lncRNA from 1 species